CUGGACUUAAUCUGUGGCUGAUACCUGUGCUUCACCUGCGGCAGAUCACUAAUCAACUGGGUACUUAAACACUGCCUUGCCCUGGGAACUUUGUCAGUUCUUUGAUUCUGGUGAUCAUGUGGUGUUCCUGUUUUGUCUCCUGAACUAGUUCUCUAGAGGACCUGGCUCCUGACCUUGGCUUCUAUCCGCGUUUUAUUCUGACUUUGGACUAUCCUCCUGCUUGUGUCCUUGUCUGUACCGCGGAUUGGAGCAUCUUUCCUGCACUGCUCCCAUGCACAGAUUCACAGUCCUGGUGGUUUCAUACAUGAUCACCUUGGACUGUGUUUAUCUGCAAGGGGGAGCAUAC